rnacentral:rRNA from 1 species
GACAGAGGGUGCAACAGUUGCUCGGAAUCACUGGGCGUAAAGGGCGUGUAGGCGGGAAGGUAAGUCGGGCGUGAAAUCCCUGAGCUCAACUCAGGAACUGCACUCGAAACUACUUUUCUUGAGUGCCGGAGAGGAAAGCGGAAUUCCUGGUGUAGAGGUGAAAUUCGUAGAUAUCAGGAGGAACACCAGUGGCGAAGGCGGCUUUCUGGACGGUAACUGACGCUGAGACGCGAAAGCGUGGGGAGCAAACAGG